CUAAAAACCCAAAUUUUUUACUUUUAAGACCUCAAAUCAGGUGGGACUACCCGCUGAACUUAAGCAUAUC
rnacentral:rRNA from 1 species